UGUCGCAGAAGUGUGGCAGCCUCUGUCUGAUCGACGAUGGAGAGCCAGAUGUUGGGGAAGGAGGUGAGAUUGUAGCUGAGACCUUGACACAUCUCCACCUCUAUGGACUCACAUGCUGAAGCUGGUGGAAUGAAGAAAAUACUCAAGCCGUCACACAACCACUGCGGAUGAAGACACUCACCGGUGCUGCACGCAAACUGACUUGGACCACAUGUCCCUUUUAAGAAACAGCACAAGAAGAAUUCAUCGGAGUUCGCCUCAUCCUGUUGGUCCUGGCAGUUUGGAUGGCCGUCACACACCGACACAGGCAGCAGACAGCGGCCACUGUCACACAUGAACUCUUCUCUGGAGCAACUUUCUGAGAAACACAUAAAAAGGUAUUUGGCACAGGUGUACAUUAAAACACGUAUAUGUAGGGGAGAGCGGGGUUAGAUGUCCCAUUCGUCAUAUAACGGCGCAAGAUGGCACAGACUCUAGAAUUGUGGAAUGAAAAUGUACGCA